UACGUAGGGGGGCAAGCGUUGUCCGGAUUUAUUGGGCGUAAAGAGCGUGUAGGCGGCCAUACAGGUCAGCUGUGAAAACUCGAGGCUCAACCUCGAGACGUCGGUUGAAACCGUAUGGCUAGAGUCCGGAAGAGGAGAGUGGAAUUCCCGGUGUAGCGGUGAAAUGCGCAGAUAUCGGGAAGAACACCCGUGGCGAAGGCGGCUCUCUGGGACGGUACUGACGCUGAGACGCGAAAGCGUGGGGAGCGAACAGG
rnacentral:rRNA from 1 species